CAUAGGUUAAUGAGGCGAACCGGGGGAACUGAAACAUCUAAGUACCCCGAGGAAAAGAAAUCAACCGAGAUUCCCCCAGUAGCGGCGAGCGAACGGGGAGCAGCCCAGAGCCUGAAUCAGUAUGUGUGUUAGUGGAAGCGUCUGGAAAGGCGCGCGAUACAGGGUGACAGCCCCGUACACAAAAAUGCACAUGCUGUGAGCUCGAUGAGUAGGGCGGGACACGUGGUAUCCUGUCUGAAUAUGGGGGGACCAUCCUCCAAGGCUAAAUACUCCUGACUGACCGAUAGUGAACCAGUACCGUGAGGGAAAGGCGAAAAGAACCCCGGCGAGGGGAGUGAAAAAGAACCUGAAACCGUGUACGUACAAGCAGUGGGAGCACGCUUAGGCGUGUGACUGCGUACCUUUUGUAUAAUGGGUCAGCGACUUAUAUUCUGUAGCAAGGUUAACCGAAUAGGGGAGCCGAAGGGAAACCGAGUCUUAACUGGGCGUUAAGUUGCAGGGUAUAGACCCGAAACCCGGUGAUCUAGCCAUGGGCAGGUUGAAGGUUGGGUAACACUAACUGGAGGACCGAACCGACUAAUGUUGAAAAAUUAGCGGAUGACUUGUGGCUGGGGGUGAAAGGCCAAUCAAACCGGGAGAUAGCUGGUUCUCCCCGAAAGCUAUUUAGGUAGCGCCUCGUGAAUUCAUCUCCGGGGGUAGAGCACUGUUUCGGCAAGGGGGUCAUCCCGACUUACCAACCCGAUGCAAACUGCGAAUACCGGAGAAUGUUAUCACGGGAGACACACGGCGGGUGCUAACGUCCGUCGUGAAGAGGGAAACAACCCAGACCGCCAGCUAAGGUCCCAAAGUCAUGGUUAAGUGGGAAACGAUGUGGGAAGGCCCAGACAGCCAGGAUGUUGGCUUAGAAGCAGCCAUCAUUUAAAGAAAGCGUAAUAGCUCACUGGUCGAGUCGGCCUGCGCGGAAGAUGUAACGGGGCUAAACCAUGCACCGAAGCUGCGGCAGCGACGCUGAUGCGUUGUUGGGUAGGGGAGCGUUCUGUAAGCCUGCGAAGGUGUGCUGUGAGGCAUGCUGGAGGUAUCAGAAGUGCGAAUGCUGACAUAAGUAACGAUAAAGCGGGUGAAAAGCCCGCUCGCCGGAAGACCAAGGGUUCCUGUCCAACGUUAAUCGGGGCAGGGUGAGUCGACCCCUAAGGCGAGGCCGAAAGGCGUAGUCGAUGGGAAACAGGUUAAUAUUCCUGUACUUGGUGUUACUGCGAAGGGGGGACGGAGAAGGCUAUGUUGGCCGGGCGACGGUUGUCCCGGUUUAAGCGUGUAGGCUGGUUUUCCAGGCAAAUCCGGAAAAUCAAGGCUGAGGCGUGAUGACGAGGCACUGCGGUGCUGAAGCAACAAAUGCCCUGCUUCCAGGAAAAGCCUCUAAGCAUCAGGUAACAUCAAAUCGUACCCCAAACCGACACAGGUGGUCAGGUAGAGAAUACCAAGGCGCUUGAGAGAACUCGGGUGAAGGAAC
rnacentral:rRNA from 1 species